UCUCAAGGACUGAUAGGAUGUGGGGUUUG
rnacentral:piRNA from 1 species